rnacentral:rRNA from 1 species
GACGAACGCUGGCGGCGUGCUUAACACAUGCCAGUCGAACGGAAAGGCCCUGCUUUUGUGGGGUGCUCGAGUGGCGAACGGGUGAGUAACACGUGAGUAACCGGCCCUUGACUUUGGGAUAACUUCAGGAAACUGGGGCUAAUACCGUAUAGGAGCUCCUGCUGCAUGGUGGGGGUUGGAAAUUUUCGGCGGGUGGGGAUGGACGCGCGGCUGAUCAGCUUGUUGGUUGGGUAGUGGCUUACCAAGGCUUUGACGGGUAGCCGGCCUGAGAGGGUGACCGGCCACAUUGGGACUGAGAUACGGCCCAGACUCCUACGGGAGGCAGCAGUGGGGAAUAUUGCACAAUGGGCGGAAGCCUGAUGCAGCAACGCCGCGUGCGGGAUGACGGCCUUCGGGUUGUAAACCGCUUUCGCCUGUGACGAAGCGUGAGUGACGGUAAUGGGUAAAGAAGCACCGGCUAACUACGUG